UACGUAGGGGGCAAGCGUUGUCCGGAUUUAUUGGGCGUAAAGAGCGUGUAGGCGGCCAUGCAGGUCCGUUGUGAAAACUCGAGGCUCAACCUCGAGACGCCGAUGGAAACCGCAUGGCUAGAGUCCGGAAGAGGAGAGUGGAAUUCCUGGUGUAGCGGUGAAAUGCGCAGAUAUCAGGAAGAACACCCGUGGCUAAGGCGGCUCUCUAGUACGGUACUGACGCUGAGACGCGAAAGCGUGGGGAGCGAUCCGG
rnacentral:rRNA from 1 species